AUUAAUUACGUCUCUAUAGCUAUGGACAAACGGUACGAUGAGGUUUUCAACUUCAUCCACCAUGGAUCAUAUCCAAUAGGGAGCAACAAGACUCAGAGGUUAAGUCUUAGGAGGUAUGCCUCCAAAUUUACCUUGAGGGAAGGACAGCUCUUCUUUGCGGGAAAAAGACGAGCUGUCAAAAGUAAAGAAGACACCAGGCGGCUCUUCAUAGAGUUUCACGACUCACCGUUGGGUGGCCAUGGGGGGAUCGUAAGGACAUUGAAGGCGAUGUGUUCAAGGUUUUACUGGCAUGGCAUGUCUGUUGACAUUGAACAAUGGAUACAGAAAUGUGACAAAUGCCAGAAGGUUGGGAAGCCACUGACCUCUGUGCAACCCUUACAGUGUAUAAAGGUGUCUGCUGUCUGGGAGUUGGUAGGCAUUGACUUAACGGGCCAACUACCAAAAACCAAGGCUGGCCAUGAAUACAUCAUGACAGUCACUGACUAUUUCUCUAAAUGGGUAGAGGCUUACCCCUUAAGGAAUAAGUCAGCAGCUGAAGUGGGAAGGCAUCUCUGCAGCAUGAUAUACCGCCAUGGCUGCCCCAAAAGAAUUCUUUCGGACAGAGGAAGGGAAUUCGUAAAUGAUCUCAACACAACCCUUUGCAAUUUGUUGGGGAUCGAGAGGAGUGUCACGGCUGCAUAUCAUCCCCAAACUAAUGGUCUCGAUGAG